GACGAACGCUGGCGGCGUGCCUAAUACAUGCAAGUCGAACGCAGUGGGGACGGGUGAGUAACACGUGGGUAACCUCCCAUCAGAGGGGAUAACACUUGGAAACAGGUGCUAAACCGAUACUGAUGGAUGGCCCCGCGGUGCAUUAGCUAGUUGGGGAGGUAACGGCGCACCAAGGCCACGAUUCAUAGCCGACCAGAGAGGAUGAUCGGCCAAACUGGGAAUGAGUCAGGGCCCAGACUCAUACGGGAGGCAGCAGUAGGGAAUCUUCGGCAAUGGACGAAAGUCUGACCGAGCAACGCCGCGUGAGUGAAGAAGGUUUUCGGAUCGUAAAACUCUGUUAUUAGAGAAGCGGUAUCUAACCAGAAAGCCACGGCUAACUACGUGCCAGCGGCCGCGGUAAUAC
rnacentral:rRNA from 1 species